AUUCGUUGGGGGUAAGCGUUAUCCGGAUUUACUGGGUGUAAAUGGAGCGUAGACGGUAAAGCAAGUCUGAAGUGAAAGCUCGGGGCUCAACCUCGGAACUGCUUUGGUAACUGUUUUACUGGAGUGCAGGAGUGGUAAGCGGAAUUCCUAGUGUAGCGGUGAAAUGCGUAGAUAUUAGGAGGAACACCAGAGGCGAAGGCGUCUUACUGGACUGUAACUGACGUUGAAGCUCGAAGGCGUGGGGAGCAAACAGGAUUUGAUUCCCUGGUAGUCCACGCGGUAAACGAUGAUUGCUAGGUGUCGGCGGCCAUAGGCGGUCGUUGCCGCAGCAAACGCAAUAAGUGAUCCACCUGGGGAGUACGUUCGCAAGAAUGAAACUCAAAUGAAUUGGCGGGG
rnacentral:rRNA from 1 species